UACAGAGGCCUCGAGCGUUGUUCGGAAUUACUGGGCGUAAAGGGAAUGUAGGUGGUGAUGUAAGUCAGAUGUGAAAGCCCUGGGCUUAACCUGGGAGGUGCAUUUGAUACUGCGUUGCUGGAGUGCGAGAGAGGAAAGCGGAAUUCCAGGUGUAGGAGUGAAAUCCGUAGAUAUCUGGAGGAAUACCGGUGGCGAAAGCGACUCUCUGGACGGCAACUGACGCUGAGGCACGAAAGCGUGGGGAGCAAACAGG
rnacentral:rRNA from 1 species